rnacentral:rRNA from 1 species
ACGAACGCUGGCGGCGUGCUUAACACCUGCAAGUCGAACGGAAAGGCCUUGCUUUUGUGGGGUGCUCGAGUGGCGAACGGGUGAGUAACACGUGAGUAACCUGCCCUUGACUUUGGGAUAACUUCAGGAAACUGGGGCUAAUACCGGAUAGGAGCUCCUGCUGCAUGGUGGGGGUUGGAAAGUUUCGGCGGUUGGGGAUGGACUCGCGGCUUAUCAGCUUGUUGGUGGGGUAGUGGCUUACCAAGGCUUUGACGGGUAGCCGGCCUGAGAGGGUGACCGGCCACAUUGGGACUGAGAUACGGCCCAGACUCCUACGGGAGGCAGCAGUGGGGAAUAUUGCACAAUGGGCGGAAGCCUGAUGCAGCAACGCCGCGUGCGGGAUGACGGCCUUCGGGUUGUAAACCGCUUUCGCCUGUGACGAAGCGUGAGUGACGGUAAUGGGUAAAGAAGCACCGGCUAACUACGUG